GCAGAUAGACUUUAUUCUCCCUGUAGGAGAUGUUUUCUACCAGCAGAUAGACUUUAUUCUCCCUGAAGGAGAUGCUUUCUACCAGCAGAUGGCAUUAUUUCCACAGUUUUCCCCUGAACUGAUGACUGAUGGGAAAUGCUGCAACAUCUAAAGAGCACUUAAAGGCAGAACAGAAAGGGGAGCGUUGUCAUAUCUCUGUGAGGACGGUGAAGCCUUCAGUCUACUCUUCAGCUCAGAGACCCAGAAUGGCGCCAACCCCCAGUCAGCUGGUGAGCUGUUGGCUCUGAUUAAGGAAAGCACCAAAGUAAAAGAGCCAGAUUACCUGAAAUG